rnacentral:lncRNA from 1 species
GGGUGAAGGAUGAAUGAAAGCAGCAGGCACCGAAUAAUUUAAGAUGGGGACAUGCGAAGAAGCAGAGAAAGGAAAGAACUGAACUUGAAGGUCAAAGAAGAGAGAAAAAUUAACUUUAAACAGGGAAGUCUUGAAAAGCUUCCCACUUGGUGAACAUCUGUUCAAACUGUUCCGAAGUUGUACCUGUCAUGUCCGACAGAGUCUCCAGUUCUCGGGCAGCAGAAGGCCCCAGAGCGAUGGUGUGGAUGAUGGCACCGCUGCGAGAGACGGCCUCAAAGCAGGAACGUAUUCCAUUAUCUUCCCCAUCUGUCAGCAAUACGAUCUCAGAACCGGAAGUGCUCUGGUCACUGGAGCUGACUUGAUGAUACACGGAAAUGGGCAAGCAUUAGACUUCUCAGCAUUUUUAAUCCUCCAGAGAUAGACAUGUUGGCUAUUCAGUAGAGGACGAACAAAUCUCCAAUAACGAUUUCUGGCAUACAGUAGCUACCAAAUGAAUAAAAAUUA